rnacentral:sRNA from 1 species
CGGAAGUUCGUGGAGGUAAUGACCGAAUAUAACGCGACCCAGUCCAAGUACCGGGACCGCUGCAAGGACCGGAUCCAGCGGCAACUGGAGAUCACUGGAAGGACCACCACCAACGAAGAACUGGAAGACAUGCUGGAGAGCGGGAAGCUGGCCAUCUUCACAGAUGACGUGAGCCGCGGGUGGGGCGGGCUCUGUUUUUGGAAAAUUUUUGCCUCCCCUCCCUAAGUUCAGGUUGAACUAAGGUCCUAAGUCCACCCUGGAAAAAUGAGCAGGGGGAAGCCUGAGCCGGGAACUGGGGAAUUCCAUGGGAGCGGAGCAGGAAGGCACCCCCAUCAGAUGACGGAGUCGUUCGUGUGCCAGGCACUGUUCUAAGCACUUUCCACCUUCACAUUCACCCACCAACUCAUUUAAUACUCACACAUCCCCUUCGAGGAAACCCCAUUUCACAGAUAAGGAAAACUGGCCCAGAGAGAUGAAAUCACUUGGCAAGAUCUCAGAGCGAGGGGGAGGGCCAGGACUUGAAUCCUGUCUAGUUUCAGAGUCAGAACUCUCGAGCCCUAGGAUACACGACAUACUCUGCUACUGAAGCAAGUCGUUUCACCAGAGAACUGAUUUGCCUACAUUAAAAGAAAUUUUUUUUAAUUAAAAAAA